CCUACGGGUGGCAGCAGUAGGGAAUAUUGCUCAAUGGGCGAAACCCUGAAGCAGCAACGCCGCGUGGAGGAUGACGGCUUUAGGAUUGUAAACUUCUUUUGAGAGAGAAGAUAAUGACUGUAUCUCACGAAUUAGCACUGGCUAACACCGUGCCAGCACCCGCGGUAAUACGGAGGGUGCAAGCGUUAUGCGGAAUAACUGGGCGUAAAGAGGGCGUAGGCGGGUUGGUAAGUCAGAUGUGAAAUCCUGUAGCUUAACUACAGAAAUGCAUUUGAAACUAUGAGUCUGGAGUAUGGGAGAGGUGGGCGGAAUUCGUGGUGUAGCGGUGAAAUGCGUAGAUAUCAAGAGGAAUACCGAUUGCGAAGGCGGUCUACUGGA
rnacentral:rRNA from 1 species